GUCUUGAACAGAGAGAUUAAGUUUCGGUUAGUGAGCUGGCCUGAUCAACCAACUCGAGUGUCUGAAUUGUUAAGGAUACUUAUAACUGGGAACAGUUGCGUUUGAAGAAGAUACGGAUCCAAAAUGUCAGAGACGACAUUCAAGAAGGAGGGGAGAGUGUAGCCGCGUGAGAAAACAAUUAAGAAACAGCUUUAAAGACCGGAACUUAGUCAGCGGUUAUAUUAUAGAAACGGGCUCAGCGAGAUAGUCUAGCGCUUAGUCAGCGGUUAUGUUGUAGAAACGGGCUCAGUAAUAUAGUCUAGCGCUUUUUAAAAACGAUAAGACAACGAACAC